AGACCGAUAGCGAACAAGUAGAGUGAUCGAAAGAUGAAAAGCACUUUGGAAAGAGAGUCAAACAGCACGUGAAAUUGUUGAAAGGGAAGCGCUUGCAGCCAGACUUGCUUGCAGUUGCUCAUCCGGGCUUUUGCCCGGUGCACUCUUCUGCAGGCAGGCCAGCAUCAGUUUGGGCGGUGGGAUAAAGGUCUCUGUCACGUACCUUCCUUCGGGUUGGCCUUAUAGGGGAGACGCCAUACCACCAGCCUGGACUGAGGUCCGCGCAUCUGCUAGGAUGCUGGCGUAAUGGCUGUAAGCGGCCCGUCUUGAAACACGGACCAAG
rnacentral:rRNA from 1 species